CUCAGGAUGAACGCUAGCGGGAGGCCUAACACAUGCAAGCCGAGCGGUAGAGAUUCUUCGGAAUCUUGAGAGCGGCGUACGGGUGCGGAACACGUGUGCAACCUACCUUUAUCAGGGGGAUAGCCUUUCGAAAGGAAGAUUAAUACCCCAUAAUAUAUUGAAUGGCAUCAUUUAAUAUUGAAAACUCCGGUGGAUAGAGAUGGGCACGCGCAAGAUUAGAUAGUUGGUAGGGUAACGGCCUACCAAGUCAAUGAUCUUUAGGGGGCCUGAGAGGGUGAUCCCCCACACUGGUACUGAGACACGGACCAGACUCCUACGGGAGGCAGCAGUGAGGAAUAUUGGACAAUGGGUGAGAGCCUGAUCCAGCCAUCCCGCGUGAAGGACGACGGCCCUAUGGGUUGUAAACUUCUUUUGUAUAGGGAUAAACCUACUCUCGUGAGAGUAGCUGAAGGUACUAUACGAAUAAGCACCGGCUAACUCCGUGCCAGCAGCCGCGGUAAUACGGAGGGUGCAAGCGUUAUCCGGAUUUAUUGGGUUUAAAGGGUCCGUAGGCGGAUCUGUAAGUCAGUGGUGAAAUCUCAUAGCUUAACUAUGAAACUGCCAUUGAUACUGCAGGUCUUGAGUAAAGUAGAAGUGGCUGGAAUAAGUAGUGUAGCGGUGAAAUGCAUAGAUAUUACUUAGAACACCAAUUGCGAAGGCAGGUCACUAUGUUUUAACUGACGCUGAUGGACGAAAGCGUGGGGAGCGAACAGGAUUAGAUACCCUGGUAGUCCACGCCGUAAACGAUGCUAACUCGUUUUUGGGUUUUCGGAUUCAGAGACUAAGCGAAAGUGAUAAGUU
rnacentral:rRNA from 1 species